AGGGUGUAAACGCUGCGGGCUUGGUGUUGGGGGUCCUUUGAGGGCGCCCAGUGCCGGAGAGAAGUUGUUAAGCCUGCUGCUUGGGAGUACGUCCGCAAGGAUGAAACUUAAAGGAAUUGGCGGGGAGCACCGCAACGGGAGGAGCGUGCGGUUCAAUUGGAUUCAACGCCGGAAAUCUUACCGGGACCGACAGCAACAUGAAGGCCAGGCUGAAGACUUUGCCGGAUUAGCUGAGAGGAGGUGCAUGGCGUAGUCGUGU
rnacentral:rRNA from 1 species